rnacentral:lncRNA from 1 species
UUUUUUUUUUUUUUUUUUGUGUCUUUUCUAGGGCCCAAUCUGCGGCAUAUGGAGGUUCCUAGGCUAGGGGUCUAAUUGGAGCUGUAGUAGCUGCCCUGUGGCCUACGCCAGAGCCACAGCAACGUGGUAUCCGAGCCACAUCUGCGACCUACACCACAGCUCACAGCAACGCCAGAUCCUUAACCCACUGAGCAAGGCCAGGGAAUGAACCCACAACCUCAUGGUUCCUAGUCAGAUUUGUUAACCACUGAGCCACGAUGGGAACUCCCCUUUUUUUGAAACUUGUUAUUCCUAAUAAAGAAAAAUCUUUAUGAUCUAUUCAUUUUUUCAAAUUACAGUUGAAAUUACAGUAUUACAGUUGUAGAUUGUAUGUGUAGGAUUUUUGCGGUUCAAACAUAAUGGGGAAAAGCAUAUUCAUUCAUAUAUGCUUCCUUGUGCAUAAAAAUCACUGCAAAGAUACACAAGGGAAUGAUAAUGAUGACAUUAUCUCAUGGGGAGUGAAUAGGAAUUAGAUGAAGAAUAGGAGCAGGAGAUAAAUUUUACUGUAAAAUAUUUAAGCUUUGAAAAAUUAUUAAAAUAAAUAUGAAUCUUAACUCUUUAAGCUAAGUGAAUAAACUUUUUCAUUUUUUUUCUCAAAUAUUUAUUGAGGACCUACUUUGUGUCAGGUACUGUUUUAGGUACUUGGGAUCAGUGAACAAUACAAAGAUCCCAACCCUUACAGAGUUUAUAUUCCAAUGAUGGCAGACAGACAUUAAAAAAUAAUCAUAAUAAGUAUACAGUGUUGUAUAUCAGGAGAUAGUAUGUGCUAUGGAAAAAAAACACAUAAAAGCGUAUGUUGGAUUGGCAGUGUCAGUGCAAUUAGGAGGAGAUUUUACAAUAUUAAAUAAGAUUAGCAGGGUGGGAGUUCCUCUUCUGAGUCAGUGGUAUCAAACUCAACUGUUAUCCUUGACAAUGUGGGUUCAAUCCCUGGCCUCACUCGUGGGUUAAGGAUCCAGCGUUGUCAUGAGCUGAGAUGUAGGUUGCAGACACAGCUUGGAUCUGGCAUUGCUGUGGCUAUGAUGUGGGCCAGCAGCUGGAGCUCUGAUUUGAACCCUAGCCUGGGAACUUGCAUUUGCCAUAGGUGCAGGCCUUAAAAAAAAAAAAAAAAAAAAGAUAGUGGAUAAGUCUUAUCAAGAAAGAGCAAAGUUAAGCAAAGACUUAAGCAAAGGUGUUAGUCAUGUGGAUAUGUGACAAAAGAAUGUAAGGAGGUAAGGAUAAUAGCCAGUGUAUAUGCAUUGGGAGAGGUACAUGUCAGAUGUUUUAUAUAAAAGGUUUGGAGCCCAGUGUGUCUUGAUCAGAACAAAAAGGAUAGUAGGAUAUGGGGCCAGAAAUAUAAUAUCCAUUGGACAUUAGCAUGAUCUGACAAAUUUUGAAGUGCUCACUCUGGUUUUAUCAAUUUGAAUUAUUAUAAAUAGGAAGCAAGUGUAACAGCUAAGAGAUAUGUCAGAAAUAAUGGUGUCUUAGACCAGAGGAAGACCAAUGAAAGUGAUGAGAAAGUAGUUGGAGUUAUGAUGUAAUUUGAAACUACUUAGCUGUAUUCCUGAUGGACUGGUUAUGGAGUGUGAGGGAGAGGACUCAAGGAAGAGAGGUGUGAAAACAUUAUCUAGGAAAAUGGGAGAUUGAAUGGACUAGGAAAUUAUACUGUGAUUGGUUGUGAGCAUGAAGAGCCCACUUAAGAUCUUCAUGAAUUUAAAAGUGAAACUGGGUUUUUCUCUAGCUACAUUCAGCCACAUGAUUAGAUCCCAUCUGGUCUAAAGAAGACCUUUGUGGUAUUAUGGAAGGGACAGCCUUGUUAAAUUUUUUUUAAAAAUAAGGCAUAGGACAUCAUACAUAGAAGGUUCUCAUCUUAAAAAUUUUAAGAGACUACAUAUAGGCUUAUUUAUAUUUAUACAAAACUAGAUAUGUUUCACCAUGGUUUAGCUAAGUAUGAUAUUUUUGUACUCAUUCUAAAAAAUGUAUGAGCCUCAAAUGAUCCUUAUUAAACCAUGCCUCUUAUUUUUGCCACAUUAGCAGGUGGCAAGUAUAAGAAAGGUCUCAAUUAAAACAUUAAGGUGACCAUUUAAAAGGCAUGAAUGAUUUCAGAGUGCUUAUUUAAUCAUUGAAAAAUUAAGCUUAUGAUAUUUAUUUUGAACUUAACAUAGUAUAUAAAAUUGUUAACAUGAAUUGUAUGUGUUUUCUAAGAAUUUGUAUAUUUACUUUUUAAUGAUUUUUAUUUUUUUCCAUUAUAGUUGAUUUACACUGAUCUGUCAAUUUCCACUCUUCAGCAAAGUGACCCAGUCAUAGGAAGCAAGGGUAGCAGCUAAGAGGACCAAGGAAAUAAAUACCAGAAACCAAGAGCACAGAGUAUUUUCCUUCAUCAAUCCAUAGACUCUUCUCUAGUUUAAUCAAACACAAAAGAAUGACCACCUUGGCAAAUGGCCACAGAGGAUGUCAACAAUUUUUUGGAGAAUUAUGUUUUAAUGAAAAAUAAGUGUUCUUUAAUAUAGCGGUUUAUAUAAGUACAGCUAUUGUCCCCUUCCUUUUUUUUUUUUCUUUGAGCACUAUUGCAUGUGAAAAAUUACAUUAAGCCAUUUUGCACUUACCUCGAGUACUGUAUAAGACUGAAUUAUAUCCCUAAAUACAAAAUAAAAAUUUAAAUAGCUGAAAUUCAGUACCCAUGCUUGAAAACAGGGCUGUUGGCAUUUAUCUUGGAUGCACAAAUCAUAUAACUAUAAAUACUAAAUAGUUUGGAAGUUAAAGUUAUCUUCUGUUUAUUUUAAAAUUAUCCAUACCAUAUAUGAAUUUUUUUUCAUUUAAUUCCUGCACUUUUUUGGCCUCAAACAUUUUCAAGCAAUUGUUCUAAAGGGCUCCAAAAUCCUUGAGAUGUCAUCCUUUACAUCCCUAUCAGCUUUAUUUUUUGUGAGGUUCCUGCAUCACAAGAUGCCAUUGAACUUUUAGUUAUUUUUACAGGAGCUCUUAAUACUCCUGGAAAAAUAGCUGGCCAAGGAUUGUGGACCACGGUGCCAUCUUCAAUAUGAAAAUUAAUUACAUUACCCUUUAGAGGAAGUUUGGUUGAAAAGAAAUUGAAAACUGCAUUAUAACAAAAAUAAUAUAAGGAAUUUGCCUUCUCUGCUUUCAUAAACAGUAUUUAAGUGGGUGAAUAUAAAAUGAAAUAAAAGUAAACUUAUGAAAACAUAAGUAGAAUGCAAGAAAAUUGAUUUUUUUCCAACAUUUUAUAUGAACAAAGAAACUGUAGAUAUGUCAGAAUUUUUAAUUUAGUGUUAAUUCAACCCAUAGGCCUAAGGUCAUCCAGCAAACGAGCCUGCUUUUUAAGUUGUACAUGAAAGGACAUUUUCCAAGUGAAGGAGGCCAUAAAUGUUUAAAAAGCCCAGUGUAGAGCCUUCUGAGUUUUCUUUCGGUAACUAGAGACAAAAUUAAUUCUUGCUUUUCUGUUGAGGAAAAUUUCAUCUAAUUACAUUCAAAUUAUUCUGCAACUUUUUGGACAGCAAAGCCUGGUCACCAAAGAAAAGAAAAAGCAGCUGUGUUGCCUUUCCUCAUAGUUAUAAGAAUAGUAUUAUUAUGCAGUCACUAGGCUUUAUAGAACCGUAAGUGUUUAUCCUCUGACUGCCUUCUGGUAGGUACAUACCUAAACCUUUCUGAACUGCUGAUAAAGUAAGCCUUCUGUUUUUAAGGCUCUUCAAAGAAAUAGAUUUCAUUGCUUCUUUUAGCAAACCAAUCUGGAAUAACAGCUCUCAGGAGUAGGGAAUUCUUUCUUAACCCUUUUAUUGAGUGAUUGUUUCUGAAAUUUCUUUUCUCAGAAUCAUGCUUUAAUCAUAAUUUAAAUCUCUUCUUAGUUUCAUGUAAUCUACUUAAGGUUUAAGAAAAUACUUAAAGUUGAUCGCUGCUAAAAUUAAUAGAAAUAAUUUCCAUAAACAAUACUUCUCCAUUAGCAGCCUAUUGUUAAAUUUCUUCCUCUAAUAUUUCGUUUUUGAUCUUAUCUAGUGUCACAUCUUAUUUUGAUCUUAAGUUAUUCUUUAACCACAGAAACAUUCUUGUGUCAGAUAAUUGUAAUUUCUCUUUCUUCCACACACAUUAUGUUAAGAACCAGCCCUUUGUUCUCUUUGAAUUGCAUUCUAUUUAUGACCAUGUCAUUAAUAAUUCUAAUCAAAAGUGCUGGUGAUUUCAUUUUCUUCUCAUAUUUUAAGGUCGAUUUGCAAAUUAUGAUUUAAAAAAAUUUGAUAGUUAGAAAGGCAAUUAGAACAUCGUGGGUAUGACUAUAAGCUUGCUAUACAAGAACACAAAUUCAUAGAACAGAUUAAGACUGACUGAUUAACCACACCUGUGCCACUCCCACCAGCUGUGUUACUUGGGUAAAUUACUGAUUCUCUUUGUCCCCCAAUUUGUAUAUCUUUAAAAUUUGAUAAUUAUAGCAUUGUAAGGAUUAAAUGGGAUGAAUAAUAUAAGUAAAAGCUUAGCUACUUAGCAGUUGGGUGGCAUAUAAUUCAAUAAAUAGGUGAUGUAAUUAUUAUACUUUUGCAAAAGCAAUAAUGAAUUUGUCCAUUAUAUUCAUACCAGAUUUAUUUUACAUCAUGUUUCUGGUACUGCUACUAAGUUUUUUUUUCACAUUGAAUUUCCUCAAUGAGCAUUUUAAAUUUUAUGUUCAAGCAUGUAAAAAUGCAGUUUAUGCAGAAAUCGCUGGUAAAACAAACAAACAAAUAAAAACAUGGUUGUUUAAAAAAAAUGGCUGGUAGCCUUUUAGUCUCAUGAAAACUAUGUAUAUUACAAAUUUUGCAGGAGGUUUUACUGGAUGUUCCUGAUUUAUUGCCUGUUCUAAAAUUUUAACUUUAUUUGAACAACUAUUACUUGGAGAAAUAUUCCAUUCACAAUGCAGAGUGAUCUAAAAAAUCUUCUUUGGAUUAAAUAUCUUUUAUGGAUACUUUGAUCAAAUCUUUAAUUAGUCUGAGACGCUGGUUUAAAAUUUCAUUAGAGGAGUUCUCUUGUGGCACAGUGGGUUAAGGAUUUGGCAUUGUCACUGCAGCAGUU